UCCGAACGCGGCCGUAACCUCCGCCGUGCCGCGGCGGGAGCAGACUGAGGGGUGGGAGCUCCUUGCCUGAGGCCGCCAGACCCAGCCCUCACCUGCCCGGUGACAGGCCGGGGGCACCUGCGGGCGGGCAGGCCUCUGAGGCGGGCAGCGGGGUCUCCGGCACCCCCCAAGGCCCCGAGCAGCCGGUCACAGCCCGCGAGGGGACGGAUCCUUCCCGCCCUUGCCCGGUGGUCGCCAACUUGCCCGGUUCGGCAGGGCCGGGGCGUGAGGCGGAGGGCCCGGGGAAUUUGCUCACUGUGAGCUGACUCAGUGGAGGUGGAGUUCUUCCUGCUUAAGACCAUGGUCCUGGAAACUCAUGCCACACAAGCUGCUGUCAUGAAUAAUGCUACAAAAUCAGCUUAAAUUGGAGGUAUAAAUAACAUGCCUGUUAUCAUCACAUGGAUUGUGAGGACCGAAUACGGCCACUACAAUUCUGAACCAAAGAACAGAAGGACAUCAGCUAGUGAAAAUUUCUGAGAAACUAUGUGAACAGGUGUCUGAGAGAAACAUGAUCAAGAAUGGGGAUCUAACACUUCCACAAAGACAGUAUUUGCUGUUAGCUGUCCUAGGCAAGGGAUUGUCCUAGGCAAGGGAUGCAACUCCACAUUGUUGAAAAUGGGAACACGCAUUGAAGAUGAGUGCUGGGACAACCCAAAGACCCCCUCGUUUCCUUCAGAGGAAUGCGUACUUGUGAGGGCUUCAAGCGUUCUGAUACCUUUCAACAUCUAUUACAUCAUAAAGCUUAUGUUUAAAAGAAAAAAACCCCAAACAUUGGCAUGUUUCUGCAAAAUUUAGCCUUUUCCUCAUCUGCAUAACAAUGUAUAUGGGUUGGAAGCAACGAGAUACUUAAUUACUUCAAACCUGCACUCAUUUUGUGUAUAUUUUGACUUGUGUACGUGCACCAUCUACAUUGUGAUUUUAGGUAUUCGGCAGUUCGCAGAAUUUCGUCUGGAAACAGCUGCAGAAGCUCCUGCUUUACAUAAACAAAAAACUACUCAUCAUAGUCUUAGAAAGUCACGGGUCUGCUUUAUAAACAAACACACACAAAUGCCUAUGCAUAAUACAGUAUUUGGAAACAAACUUGGACAUUACUCACUCUUCGGACCAUCUCCUGAUUUAGUUAUCUCCUGUGAAACAAAAGAAGCUAAUGUGCUUGUACAUUAGAUGCCAGGAGCUCCUACUGAGGGAAGGCAUGAAAUAAAAGAGGAUAGAUUCAUGGUGUUUUAAUAAGGUAUCAUAAAGCACUAGCAGAACGCUGAAGUGUCUUGCCUCUUAUUUCCAGCUUUUAUAUCUGUAUCCUGCGAAUUUACCACAUUUCAACCUAAACAAAUUAUGGACUGUCCAACAACUUGUUCAAAGUACAGCAUGAAAACCAAAAAACACUGUUCCAUGGGCCUAAAGAUACUUAAUCUUACAGAAUGAAAAGAAGGCAUAUCCUAAGCCCCACUCAUUUUCAGUUUCUUUCUUGCAAAACUCUUAAUGGAAAUAUAUCUUUGUAAUAGUGUCUGUGUAUAUCUACAGCUAACAAUCUGAAUAUCUUUAGUUAUUUUCCCUACUUAGAUGUGUUUAUAUUGUAACUAGACCAAAGGCAGCCCCACAAAAGUCUCGAAGGGCAUAGUGAAACAAGAAUUCUUAUCCCUGCUUUUCUCCUGUACGUGGACCAAACAGAAUAGAUAUUAUUUGCAGGGGCUCACUUGCUUCUUUUGUUCUUGUGUUGUAUUUAGAUUAUUUGUGCUUUAUUCUUUGUACCAAUCUAUUUUUGGCAUAUAAUUUGAACACCCAGAAUUGUACCGGAAGAAAAGCCUUGGGGAGCUUAAUAAACUAAGAACUUUCUUAGCUUUUCUUUUUAAGAGGUUCACCAUUGCAUACAUGUGAUGAUUUUUUGACUGCUACAUCUAUUUUUAAUACUUCAUUUUGUAUAGUUUUGGGUGUACAGAUGUGUGAAUCUAUUGAAGAGUACAGUUAGAGGCUUCUUACAUGUUUAACAGAUGUGGCUCCUUGUGAUGAUAGUAAAAAUGUACUCAAAAGCAUUGACAGGUUCACACUUUGCCUUCAACUGGUUUGUGUGGCAUAUUUCCAGCUUAGCUGUAGCUUGAGAAACUGCACGUUCACGUUCUGUUGUCUUGGAAAUACAAAU